rnacentral:misc_RNA from 1 species
AAAACCAUCAAGCCUGGCUUGGUCUUGGGCGCGGUCUCGGGACUCGCCCGCAACCCGUCGGCGGUGCCUGCUCGGCCCUGAGCGUAGCAAGACUCUCGCUCGGGGGCCGCGGCGGCGCCCGCCCGGAGAACACACCUCAAA